rnacentral:lncRNA from 1 species
GAAAUUUGAAACAAAUUGAAAGGUCUCAAAAAGAAAAUUAAAAUGCAAUAGUUUUUUCCUUUUCCAAUAACAUUUCAACGCAAAGCACAUUAUGAAAAAUGCCUUAGUAUCAAAUAAUUUUGAUUAUAUGACUUCAUUUAUGACUGUCAAGACAGUUCAAAAAUCUAACUAGUUAAAUUAAAACAUGAAAUUAAAAGGACACUGGCUACUGGGUUUGCAGAGAGGUAGUCAUUUCUAGUUUCACUAAGUACAUCUAUUAUUCACUGGGGACAUCAUGAUUCAUGACAUGAAAAUGAAUUGACGACCAAUUUAUAUGCAUAUGAUCAGAUGCAGAUUUAGAGGGGUUUUCAGGGGGCUUAGCCCCCUUUUCUGGGAAAAAAAUAGUUGAUUAUAUAGGGAAUCACUGAAGCAUGACUGAAGCAGGCCCCCUCUUAGGUAGUCAGUGGGCCCCCACUUAUGAAAAUUUCUGAAUCCGCCACUGAUGAUCAUAAACUGUAAGUGUGAAGCUUUGAAAUGUACAAUUAUGAAGAAAAAUAUUAAAUUUGAAAAAUAUUAUUUGAAGACACUUUCAUUUAAACCAUUUUCCUAUGUAUAUGAUUUACAACCUUGACAGAAAUAAACAUCUCAAAUACUAUCAAACUGCUAACCCUUUUUCCAAGCUCAAGGCUAGGAAGGCUUACUAAGCAUAGUUUUUUUUUUUUAAAUUGGCAUCUCUAUAAUUAAUUAAAGUAACAUACAUGUUGCUAAAAUCUUAAAUUGAUUCCUAUAUGAGCUGCCUCAGAUAGAAAUUGACCUUAUGGUUAUGCUAAGUGCACAUAUACAUGAUAUACAUGUACAUAUAAAACUUUGAUUGAUUUUGGAACAUUCAAAUACAAAUUCUAAUGCAACAACGUUUGUAACGUUCAUUUUGAUUGGAUAACGUCACUUAUUUACAUGGCAUCAAUUGACAAUUGAUGCUAUGGGACUUACACGCAACGCGUCGCUAGGAAACUUAAUUUGUGACAAUCAAAUCCCUAAUUGAUGCCAUCGGAGUUUAAAAUACAAUACAGUUAUUUCCUAAAUAAAAUAUGAAUUUGAGUCUGUUUUGUAGGAUUCUUAUACCAAAUCGAUGUUAAACCAGUUACAGACUUUGCAUAGAGAUUUUUGAACUUUUGAUUUUCACAUUUGCAUCAGGUUGAUUUCUAUUUGGCCCAGCUCAUAUCUCAUAAAAAUGUAAUAUAUCAAGCAAUACAUUAAUUAAAUUGGUCAAUCACAUAAAUAUAUAUGCAAUGCAGGUAACAUUGCCAAUUUUUCUUGAAGUUUCAAUUUGGUUAAAAAUAAAUGAGAUCUACACAAAAACUAAUUAUGCUAUUAUAAUACACUUUCAUAAAAUUAAUGAUUUUUAAUAAACAUUUUU